UAGUCAUAUGCUUGUCUUAAAGACUAAGCCAUGCAUGUCUAAGUAUAAGCACUUGUACAGCAAAACUGCGAAUGGCUCAUUAAAUCAGUUAUAAUUUAUUUGAUGGUAAAUACCACUUGGAUAACCGUGGUAAAACUAGAGCUAAUACAUGCGUAAAAACCUGACUGGGAACGGAAAGGUUGUAUUUAUUGAUACAAAACCAAUACUUAUUAAUAGCAAUAUUAAUAAGUUAAAAUGGGUGAUUCAUAGUAAUUAAACUAAUCGUAUAAUCUUAGUAUUGACGAUAGUUCAUUCAAAUAUCUGCCCUAUCAACUUUCGAUGGUAGUAUAGAGGACUACCAUGGUGGUAACGGGUAACGGAGAAUCAGGGUUUGAUUCCGGAGAAGGAGCCUGAGAAACGGCUACUACUUCCAAGGAAGGCAGCAGGCGCGCAAAUUACCCAAUCCCAAAAUGGGGAGGUAGUGACAAUAAAUAACAAUAUUGGAUUUUAUAAAAAAUCUAAUAAUUGGAAUGAGUACAAUCUAAACCCCUUAACGAGUAUCAAUU
rnacentral:rRNA from 1 species